CCAGCGGAAUGCGUUAGCAUGGAAUAAUAAGAUAGGACUUUGUUUCUAUUUUGUUGUCUCUGAGGAACAAAGUAAUGAUUGAUAGGGAUAGUUGGGGGUGCUCGUAUUUAACGGUCAGCGGUGAAAUGCAUGGACCCGUUAAAGACGAACCUAUGCGAAAGCAUUCACCAAGGAUAUCUUCU
rnacentral:rRNA from 1 species